CUACCGCACCCGGCCCUUAAGAAGUCUUAAAGUCAUCUAUGAUAGGUGAGCGCUCAGGUUCCUCUCCUUAAAGUCAUCUAUGAUAAGUGAGCGCUCAGAUUCUUCCUUUGUGGGGUGCAAGUUCAUGACAGAUUCCUCAAGGUUAAUAGCUUAGUAGUAUAAUUUUAUUGCAGUCACUGUACUGUCCAUGCAUAGUAAUGUUGUAAGGCACAUCUUUAUUUAAUAAUUCUGAAAAUAUUUCGAGCACCUAACUUCAGCUAUUGAGAAUAGAUAUAAAAUUAUGCUCUAUAAUUUUAGGGAAAGAAAUUAUUUUCUUGCUACAUCAAUAAAUCUUUCUUUUACAUACAUCCUUUCCAUAUAAUAAAUAUCCAUUUCUCUUUCAUAUAUCCAUGAUUAAAUGUCUUACAUGAAUAAAAUAUUUCUUUUGAAAAUAUACAGAAUGGUUUGUCAAAACAUGCGAAAUGCACUGUAUGGUUCCAAAAUCUGUUUUUCAUGUUUUUCUUUGGGGUGUGAUCUGUUCCUGUUAGUUUAGUGUUUGUGCCUUAAUUGUAGUAUAUCCUUAAGGAAAUUGAGUAUUGGUAGACUAUUUAUUGCAGUUGAAGAUAUAGCAAAAGAAAUAAUUAAGUUUCCAGGAGGGAAAUACCUAUAAGUGAAUGAUAAUACAGUCAGUGUAAAACAGCCUUUCACUAAAGAAUGUAUAUACUAUUAUUUACUCAAAAACUAUUCAGCAACUAUUUUACCCACAGGUGAAAUGCACUGGAGUGUCCAGUUUUGUGUCACGUGUCCUUUCUGCCAUUCUCAGGCUAAUGGCACUCUUCAUGACAAGCCUGAUUGUACUGUUAAGCUCCAGAGGAAAAAAUGUGGCUACAGAGUAUAUUAAAAUACAUACAAUUGAAAAGGAAAAUGUUCAUUUUUGCAAGCAGAAGAUUACCAACAGAAUGCUAAAAUUGAAGUUGUAUACCGAUUCCAAAUACGUGAGGCUUGAGGCUUACUACUUUCUUGAAGAAGAGGCAGAAAAAAGGUAACAAUAUGGGAGAGGGAAAAGAGCAAUAAUUAAUAUACUAAAGUUUACUCAACCAUACAUAUAUUAGACAUGUUAUUUUAUUUGAUGAGUAUUAGCUUUGUAUCCCUUUAUUAGUUUUGUAUCCCUUUCCCCAAAAUACAUAUAUACACGCAUGGAUGGACACGCAUGCCAAUACUAGAUGUGAAGUCCUGAUGUAGGUAGAUUCUAGCGCCAAGCAUAGUGACCAGCAUGUAUAUAAUAGGACCUAUAUAAAUGCUUGUUAAAGUCAUCUAGAAAACUAUAACUAAAGUAUUUUUACCUGCAAAUACAUUGUUUAUAUCUUAAUUUUCUUUCCGUUGUCUUUUUUUAAUAGAUGGGUUCUCAUGAUGUUGUCCAGGCUGUAGUGCAAUGGCUCUUAAGAGGUGCAAUCACAGUGCACUAUAGCCUCAAACUCCUGGACCCAAGCAUUCCUCCUGCUUUGGAUUCCUGAGUAUUAGGGAUUACAGCCAAGUGCUACUACAUCAGCUUUGUCUCUUAAUUCUCUUUGAAAAAGCAUGUGAGCUAUAACUUGUUCUUUAUUAUUU